GAUGAACGCUGGCGGCGUGCCUAAUACAUGCCAGUCGAGCGAACGGACGAGAAGCUUGCUUUUCUGAUGUUAGCGGCGGACGGGUGAGUAACACGUGGAUAACCUACCUAUAAGACUGGGAUAACUUCGGGAAACCGGAGCUAAUACCGGAUAAUAUUUUGAACCGCAUGGUUCAAAAGUGAAAGACGGUCUUGCUGUCACUUAUAGAUGGAUCCGCGCUGCAUUAGCUAGUUGGUAAGGUAACGGCUUACCAAGGCAACGAUGCAUAGCCGACCUGAGAGGGUGAUCGGCCACACUGGAACUGAGACACGGUCCAGACUCCUACGGGAGGCAGCAGUAGGGAAUCUUCCGCAAUGGGCGAAAGCCUGACGGAGCAACGCCGCGUGAGUGAUGAAGGGCUUCGGAUCGUAAAACUCUGUUAUUAGGGAAGAACAUAUGUGUAAGUAACUGUGCACAUCUUGACGGUACCUAAUCAGAAAGCCACGGCUAACUACGUGC
rnacentral:rRNA from 1 species